AGAAGAGGUACUAGUUGAAGUGUUUUUUCUCCAUACUACCCAUUUACUUAAGGUGGGACAUAGUAUUAUUGUCCCCUACUGCUCUAAGAUUUUUUUGGUCCAGAGAAGACACCAGAAGAGUAAUAGUUCAUCUUAGAGCUCAAGGAAAUAAGAUAAAAGUCCUAAUUCAUCUAACACUGUGGCUUUAUUCAGCAAAUUAGGAACAGGAGGCUGUAUUCCCGAAGGAUUUGUUCUUGGAUUUGUACUGCCUAGCAAGAAAACUUUCAAUUUUAUUGUUUAUUUAAAUAAACCAGCCAAGAAUAUCUACUAAAUAUCAAAACUUAGUCUUGGUAGUUUUGGCAAAUGUUGAUAUCUACACAUUAUUAUUUUUGGCAGGAAAAAAGGGAUAUCUAUACUUAUGAUUUCAGUAGUGUAGGGAAUUCCCUGCAUUGAAAUAAAUAUUCCCUCCAUCAAUGCAGAUAAAUGGUUAUUCUGAAACUAUGUCUUGGAAUAUUGCCUGGAGUCUGAAAAAGGGAGUUAAAAUUAUCUAGUCACUGUGUGUCAGGCAGGUCUUAAUCAAGUCUUCUGACUCCCAGCCAGCUCUUCUCUCUGCUAUACCAUACUUCCAGUCCUUAAUAUUGAUUUUGUAAAUUUAUUUGUUCUGCCUCCCCCCAUAAAGCGUAAGCUGCUUGAGGUAGGCUUAUGUUCUUUAUCCAAGAGUAUUUCCUAAUGUAAUAAUCUUUAAAACAAUGUGUCUUGGGGCUGGUUUAUUGUUUGAGGAAAUGUUUGUUGACUUCCUACCUGUAGUUUUUUAUGUAACCAUUCUUUGUCAGCUUUUGAAUGUGUGAAUAAAGACCACCUAAAAUUUUUUUCUUGA